AAAUCUCUAUGGUGUAACCAUCGAUGGAACGACCAUCUAUCGAUGGUUUUGCAGCCCUGGCACAAAUGUGAAAAAAAACUGCAACUAUACGAUGGAUCGAAGAUGAAUUCAAAGUGCAGUUGCCGUUGCUGCCCCUGCUCAAGCGGAAGUCAGGCUCUGGCUCAGUGAAGAAGCAAAGCUUCGACCACCUGGACGUCUGCUUCACGCGUAGCAAUCGGGGUAACAACCUGCUGACCAUAGACGGUAAACCCUUCACGCUUAACCGUCGCAUCAAGGAUGCCUGCUACUGGGAGUGCGUCAAGCUGCGUUGCAAAUACAUCAAGUGUACAGCGCGUGUGGUAACCAAAUCAAAUCAGAUCUCGGCACUGCGAGGCCAUCACAAUCAUCCCUAAGUCAAGUCCUUCCUGUGCCAUACUCCUCAUUUUAGUCAAAUAAAACGUUUUUCUGUUAAACCAAAAUGCCAUUGUAGCUUCUGUAAAGUCUCGACCUGCAAUUGGAGGCUUGAAACCGUUAAUAAUGCCUCGAACUCCUUGCAGAUGGCGAUGGCGAUGGCGUCUACCAGCUGGUGACCAAUCGGCGCGGUGGCCAAAACCUCAUAUACAAUGGUCACAUGUACUCAGUGGAGCGAAAGUACCAUGCCAGCAUCAAUUGGAAGGGCAGGGACAGGUGCUGGCCGAGUAUGUUCGGUCGAGGCGCGGCACCGGCCUGGUCUACUACGAGGGCAACACCUACACGCCCAACGAGAAGCUGCGCGAGGGCCAAAAGAGCCGUGAUUGGAAAUGCUCCAUGUACCACAAGGCCAAGUGUCGGGCCCGUCUCGUCACGCGUCACACACGAAUUGGAGAUCUCAUACACGUGACCAGCAGAUUGCACACGCAUCCCAGGAUGUACGACCACCUGUACAAAUCAGAAGACAAAGACUCACGCAAGCUCUUCCCAAAGCUUAGUCCGCACAAGAAAGAGUCCAAGUAGCCGCCACAUCGUCUCGUUUAAGACACAACACAGACCUGCGCCUACAACUAAAAUAAAUCAUUAUAACAUAAUUAAUUCGUAGCCAUUGGCAAACAUUUGCCAGUGCAGUAUGUAUUGGACGAAGCCGGCAAGACAAUGAAAAUGAGUCCGGUGUCCAUUAGGUUCAUCGAAGGACAACGAAAGUCGGUGCAGCUGGUGUGUGGAAACUAUGCCUAUGCCAAGAACAACAAACACGGCGGCACCACCUACUGGAACUGUCGCAGCCGACGCCACGGGCAGGAGUCGUGCAAGGCUCGCCUCUCUACCAGACACCACUCGAACGGCCGGUUCAUAGUACACCUCACCCAACCGAAGCACAAUCAUCCGCCCAGCAAGCGCAUUAAUCGAAUACUCAGCAAGAGUCUCUAAGAAUCUCUAGUAGACAGUAAGCCUAGAUCGUAAGCAGCAAAUAUAAAUGAGGCCCGCGUGAGGGCAAAGAGCAUUAAA